GAUGAACGCUGGCGGCGUGCCUAAUACAUGCAAGUCGAGCGAACAGACGAGGAGCUUGCUCCUCUGACGUUAGCGGCGGACGGGUGAGUAACACGUGGAUAACCUACCUAUAAGACUGGGAUAACUUCGGGAAACCGGAGCUAAUACCGGAUAAUAUAUUGAAUCGCAUGGUUCAAUAGUGAAAGACGGUUUUGCUGUCACUUAUAGAUGGAUCCGCGCCGCAUUAGCUAGUUGGUAAGGUAACGGCUUACCAAGGCGACGAUGCGUAGCCGACCUGAGAGGGUGAUCGGCCACACUGGAACUGAGGCACGGUCCAGACUCCUACGGGAGGCAGCAGUAGGGAAUCUUCCGCAAUGGGCGAAAGCCUGACGGAGCAACGCCGCGUGAGUGAUGAAGGUCUUCGGAUCGUAAAACUCUGUUAUUAGGGAAGAACAAAUGUGUAAGUAACUAUGCACGUCUUGACGGUACCUAAUCAGAAAGCCACGGCUAACUACGUG
rnacentral:rRNA from 1 species